UUCCUACGGGGGGCAGCAGUAGGGAAUCUUCCGCAAUGGACGAAAGUCUGACGGAGCAACGCCGCGUGAGUGAUGAAGGUUUUCGGAUCGUAAAGCUCUGUUGUUAGGGAAGAACAAGUGCCGUUCAAAUAGGGCGGCACCUUGACGGUACCUAACCAGAAAGCCACGGCUAACUACGUGCCAGCAGCCGCGGUAAUACGUAGGUGGCAAGCGUUGUCCGGAAUUAUUGGGCGUAAAGGGCUCGCAGGCGGUUUCUUAAGUCUGAUGUGAAAGCCCCCGGCUCAACCGGGGAGGGUCAUUGGAAACUGGGGAACUUGAGUGCAGAAGAGGAGAGUGGAAUUCCACGUGUAGCGGUGAAAUGCGUAGAGAUGUGGAGGAACACCAGUGGCGAAGGCGACUCUCUGGUCUGUAACUGACGCUGAGGAGCGAAAGCGUGGGGAGCGAACAGGAUUAGAUACCUGGGGUAGUCCA
rnacentral:rRNA from 1 species